rnacentral:rRNA from 1 species
GGUGGUGCAUGGUUGUCGUCAGCUCGUGUCGUGAGAUGUUGGGUUAAGUCCCGCAACGAGCGCAACCCUUAAGCUUAGUUGCCAGCAUUCAGUUGGGCACUCUAAGGUGACUGCCGGUGACAAACCGGAGGAAGGUGGGGAUGACGUCAAAUCAUCAUGCCCCUUAUGACCUGGGCUACACACGUGCUACAAUGGACGGUACAAACGGUUGCCAACCCGCGAGGGGAAGCUAAUCCGAUAAAACCGUUCUCAGUUCGGAUUGUAGGCUGCAACUCGCCUACAUGAAGCCGGAAUCGCUAGUAAUCGUGGAUCAGCAUGCCACGGUGAAUACGUUCCCGGGUCUUGUACACAC